AAGUCGAGCGGAACGAGUUAACUGACCCUUCGGGUGACGUUAACGGCGUCGAGCGGCGGACGGGUGAGUAAUGCCUGGGAAAUUGCCCUGAUGUGGGGGAUAACCAUUGGAAACGAUGGCUAAUACCGCAUAAUGCCUUCGGGCCAAAGAGGGGGACCUUCGGGCCUCUCGCGUCAGGAUAUGCCCAGGUGGGAUUAGCUAGUUGGUGAGGUAAUGGCUUACCAAGGCGACGAUCCCUAGCUGGUCUGAGAGGAUGAUCAGCCACACUGGAACUGAGACACGGUCCAGACUCCUACGGGAGGCAGCAGUGGGGAAUAUUGCACAAUGGGCGCAAGCCUGAUGCAGCCAUGCCGCGUGUGUGAAGAAGGCCUUCGGGUUGUAAAGCACUUUCAGUCGUGAGGAAGGUAGUGUAGUUAAUAGCUGCAUUGCUUGACGUUAGCGACAGAAGAAGCACCGGCUAACUCCGUGCCAGCAGCCGCGGUAAUACGGAGGGUGCGAGCGUUAAUCGGAAUUACUGGGCGUAAAGCGCAUGCAGGUGGUUCGUUAAGUCAGAUGUGAAAGCCCGGGGCUCAACCUCGGAACUGCAUUUGAAACUGGCGGACUAGAGUACUGUAGAGGGGGGUAGAAUUUCAGGUGUAGCGGUGAAAUGCGUAGAGAUCUGAAGGAAUACCGGUGGCGAAGGCGGCCCCCUGGACAGAUACUGACACUCAGAUGCGAAAGCGUGGGGAGCAAACAGGAUUAGAUACCCUGGUAGUCCACGCCGUAAACGAUGUCUACUUGGAGGUUGUGGCCUUGAGCCGUGGCUUUCGGAGCUAACGCGUUAAGUAGACCGCCUGGGGAGUACGGUCGCAAGAUUAAAACUCAAAUGAAUUGACGGGGGCCCGCACAAGCGGUGGAGCAUGUGGUUUAAUUCGAUGCAACGCGAAGAACCUUACCUACUCUUGACAUCCAGAGAAGCCAGCGGAGACGCAGGUGUGCCUUCGGGAACUCUGAGACAGGUGCUGCAUGGCUGUCGUCAGCUCGUGUUGUGAAAUGUUGGGUUAAGUCCCGCAACGAGCGCAACCCUUAUCCUUGUUUGCCAGCGAGUAAUGUCGGGAACUCCAGGGAGACUGCCGG
rnacentral:rRNA from 1 species